UUGGGUCGUGUUAUAAAUGCUCUGGCUAAACCUAUUGAUGGGAGAGGCGAAAUUGUAGCUUCCGAAUCUCGCUUAAUUGAAUCUCCUGCUCCAAGUAGAAUUUCCAGGCGUUCCGUAUACGAACCUCUUCAAACAGGGCUUAUUGCUAUCGAUUCGAUGAUCCCUAUAGGGCGCGGUCAGCCACCCGCGCCGAUCUCAUCGCCGGCACCACCGUGGUGA
rnacentral:rRNA from 1 species